rnacentral:rRNA from 1 species
ACUCGCGUAGGUGUCCGGCCGACGGUGCCGUACCGUUGUCGGUCGCCGGUAAGGGAACGCCGUAGAAGCGACGCCCACCGUAGGGAAAGGUACCGGGCCCGACGAAGGCUAGUAAAAACGUUAAAAGGUAAGUUGGGCGGGGAGCACAACAACGGGUGGAGCUUGCGGUUUAAUUGGAUUCAACGCCGGAAAUCUUACCGGGACCGACAGCAACAUGAAGGCCAAGCUGAAGACUUUGCCGGAUUAGCUG